AUGACAAAUGUAGAGGUUGAAUCGGAUUGUCAGGUUCUGGUAAAGGCGCUACGAGGUACUGAAUCGGACCGUGCACCUGAAGGUUUGCUAUUUAAGGAGAUUCGUCAGUUUGCCUAUCUAAAUUUUACUAGUAUUUCUUUCGUUUUUGCCCCACGGGCAUGUAAUAAUCUUGCGCACGCUCUAGCGGCCUACGGUGCUAGUCAUUAGCCUGUCUCGCAUGUGUCGUCUGAGGACCUACCUGACGAUGUAAAUGUUCGACGGGCCUGCAAAUUAGCUGAGCCAGUUUAA
rnacentral:rRNA from 1 species